ACUCUCGACAACGGAUAUCUCGGCUCUCGCAUCGAUGAAGAACGUAGCGAAAUGCGAUACUUGGUGUGAAUUGCAGAAUCCCGUGAACCAUCGAGUCUUUGAACGCAAGUUGCGCCCGAAGCCAAUAGGCCGAGGGCACGUCUGCCUGGGUGUCAC
rnacentral:rRNA from 1 species